GCCGGGAUGGCGGAAUCCGGUAACGCGCCAGAAAACAGGCGAAACUCGAGAUCUGGUUUCCGCAAGGAAUUUAGGGUUCAAAUCCCUAUCCCGGCG
rnacentral:tRNA from 1 species